GGGGCCUCGCUUCCGGUAGCCGAGAGUUUUGUUAGAACCGCGUCCCCGCCCCAGUUCCCUGUCUGUGAGCCGAUUUCUCUGCCCAGGGUCGGCGCGCGCGGCUGUCUCAGAACUCAUGCAGCUGUUCCCGCGAGGCCUGUUUGAGGACGCGCUGCCGCCCAUCGUGCUGAGGAGCCAAGUGUACAGCCUCGUGCCUGACAGGACCGUGGCCGACCGGCAGCUGAAGGAGCUUCAAGAGCAGGGGGAGAUCAGAAUCGUCCAGCUGGGCUUCGACUUGGAUGCCCAUGGAAUUAUCUUCACUGAGGACUACAAGACCAGAGUAUGUGACUGUCCUCAAAGCCUGUGAUGGCCGACCGUAUGCUGGGGCAGUGCAGAAAUUUCUAGCUUCAGUACUUCCAGCCUGUGGGGACCUUAGUUUCCAGCAGGACCAAAUGACACAGACCUUUGGCUUCAGGGACUCAGAAAUCACGUGAGACUUGUGGAACCAACAAAGUCAGGCAUCUGGUGCUUCCCUGCCUCCCUCCAGUU
rnacentral:sRNA from 1 species